rnacentral:lncRNA from 1 species
GUUCCAUGAAGCCCUGCAUUGCACAUUCCUGCUUGAGUCCUCUCCCAGCUUCUAUGCACAGCUCUGGCUUCCACUCAGUGCAGCUGGAGGAAGAAGGGGACCCCAAACCCCAGAGACAUGGUGGUAUCUGCUGAGUGGUCCCAGAGCAUGCCGAGUGCAGAAGGCAGCUUGCUCCAGAACUUGGAGAGGCACAGGCAUUCACUCAAGCCCUUCACCUUCCUCAUCCCAGACAUGAAAUACAUAAUCACCAAGCUCAUUAACCACAGCCCCAUGGGGCUAUGCGGGACGGAAUGUGGGAGAGGAACCCGCUUUCUGCACUGACCAGGUCUUGACUCAGUGUAUCUUGGAAGAAAGAAGAGGAGGUCUGAAUGCUCGCACCCAGAGGCGGCUUGGUAAUUGCAGGUUUUCAUAACACUCCGGGAAGGAACAGUCGCUUCUAUGGAGAAGCCAGGGAAAAUGCUUCGUGGCAACCAUUCCCAGGAACGGGGCCAUCCUAACCACCAGACCACCCGGGUGUGCCCUUUCCAACUCCUCCGCUUCCCAUGACAUACAGGAUCACAACCAGCCCAGCCCUCCCCAAGAGGCCAUCCACAAACAUUUACGGAGUGUUUAGUAUCUCUGUCCCAGAUUGAUGGCUGCAGCUCGCAGGGAGGACUGGAGAUGGAAUGGGAGCGCCUCCUCCUUCUCACCAGACCCAGGCACCUUUGGCCUUCCAGGUUCUUCUGUUACCCCUGAGGCAUCACUGGCUACUCCUGGGUACCCCGAAUCCUGAGGUCUCCCGUGGCAGCCUCUGGCAAGGCCUUCUGCAGUUCCACAUCAAAACGUACCCCAGGGAAUGGGAGUCCUGCUUGGAUAGGCCUAGGUCUGCCUCAAAAGGCAUGUGAGCCCGGCGGCCAGGUGAAUGCACUGCUGCAGCAUGGUCUCCUCGGCUGUAAGGCCACUCACUCUGUCAUGAGCACCCUACAGAGAGGCCCACGUUGCAAGGAAAUGAAGCCUCCAGCCAACAGCCAGUGAGGAGCCAAGGCCUGCCAGCAACCACAUCCGUGAGCUGGGAAGUGGCUCUUCCAGUCCCAUCUGAGUCAAGUGUCAGAUGACCGCAAUCCUGGCCAACAGCCUGACCACAAUCUCACGAGAGACCCUGAGCCAGAACUCCCCAGCUAUAUAGCUUCUGGAUGCUUGACCGUCAUAAACUGUGUGAGAUCAUAAGUGCUUAUUUUAAGCUGCUAAAUUUGGGGAGUAAUUUGUUACACAGCAAGAGAUAACUAAUACAGCUUUGGGUACUUGGAAGUAGGGUGCUGCCAUAGUGAAACUCUGCAAUGUGAGAGUGGCUUUGGUACUGGGCAGUGGGCCGGAGCCAGAAGCAUUCUGGGGUGAUUCUUAGUGAAAACUUCAAAUGCCAUGAAGAGACCACUGGUAGAAAUAUGGACUUUGAGGAGACUGGUGAUGGGGGCUUUAAGGGAGGUGAAAAAUAUAUUAUUGGGAAUUAGAGGAAGGAGGAUUUUUAUUAUGUAGCCCCAAAAUGUUUAGCAACAUUGUCUCCUACAGAUAUGUGAAAAGCAGAAAAUGUACUUAAUGACUUGCAUUAUCUAAGGAAGAAGUUUUUAGCCAGGGUCCUGCAGGGGCUGCCUGGUUUCUUCUUGCUAGGUAAAAUGUGAGAAGAGAGAGACAAGUUAAAAGAAGGGCUGUCACAAUAAAAAAAAAUCCAGGACUUGCUAGUUUUGAAGAGUCCCAGACUGUCCAGAUGGCAAAUGAUGCUAAAAUUAGGAAAUGACUUCUGCGUAAAGAUCAAAUCCAGGCACUCUCAGGAAAGCAUAGUCCAAAGAUGAGGUGGAGGGUGUGGCUAUGAAGUCUUUGUCAAGAUCUUAGAAAGUUCAGCGGUGCUGCCUCAGAGUACUAUUCAGUCAGACCAAAAGCUCUGUAAAGAUUUUAAGAGAUGUUAAAGAUCUUCUCAGUCAAACAACAGAGCUUCUAAGAAGCUUAAGGGCAUUGUCCCUCAGCAGAAGCCCAGCGGAGAGAAGGGAUGGUCUUGAAGAGAUGUGUGGGUGGGCUUUUAUUUGGUGGAACAGACUCAAUAGGAUCACAGAAGACCCAUAAAGUUUUUCAAAGGAUUAUUUCAGUGGAAACACAACAACUUGGACUGGAAGGGAGAGACACAGUACAAAAUAUAAAGAAGCUCUUGGACCUCCCAAAUUCUACCAGCAGGAAGCUAUCUGAGCAACAAAUCAGCUGCAAAGACAUGCUACCUUUCAUAGAAAAGGAAGGAUGACUCAGAGGCAGAACCAAGAGCCCAGAGUAUUCACUGGGCUCAUGACUUGCUGCAAUCUCAUGAAAGACCCUGAAUGCAGAGGGCGGAGACAGCCUUGUAGAAUAAUUCCUGGGCAGGAACAGAACUGAGUUCUAAUCAAGAAACUUCCAAUAUCUGCCUGGCUGGAUUUCAGAACUGCUAUGGACCAACAAUGUCUAUGUGCUUCUUGUUUCCCCUCUUCUUGAAUAAGUGUAUCUAAGGCUGUUACCCUAUGCCUGUCCCACAAUUGUAUGUUGGCUACGUGUGUGUGUGUGUGUGUGUGUGUGUGUGUGUGUGCAGCUAACUUGCCUCCUUAAAUCUCAGGCCUACAGAUCAAGAGUGAACUGUACCUGAGGUGCUGUACUUAAGGAGAUACACCCAAAGAGCGUCAUCUGCAUCUGAACAUGAUCUAGAUGAUGAGACUUUGGACUUGGAGCUGAUGCUAUAAUCAAAUGAGACAUUGGGAGGGGUGAGACUAUUUUGCAUGUGAGUCACUGGGAAUGAGAGGGUGGGUUGUGGUAGUCAGCCUCUAAGAUUGUCCCCAGUGAUCCCCACUUUAUGGAAUUUAUAUCCCUGUAAAGUCCCCUCCCACACUGUACCAAGGUUAGUCUAUGUGACCAACAGAAUAUGGUAGAAUAUGGCAUGUCACUUCCAAGAUUAGGUUACAAAGCAUACUGCAGCUUCGAUCUUGGUGUCUGUCUGUCUGCUUGUCUUCCUGUCUGUCUCUCUUGGAUCAUACUCUGGGACAAGUCAGCUGCUAUGUCAUGAACAGCCCUAUGAAGAGGUCCACCUUGUGACCAACAGCUAAUGAGAAACUGAGAACUGCCAACCACCUUGUGAAGGAGGCUGUUCUCCAACUGCUUGGGCUUUCUCCAGCCCCAGUCAUGCCUUCAGAUGCCUACACCCCUGGCUGACAGUUUGACUACACUCUCAAGGGUGACUUUGAGCUAGGACAACCCUGUUAAACUGCUCCUGGAUUCCUGACCCUUGGAAACUGGGUGACAUAAUAAAUAUUUGUUGUUUUAAAC